AUGCCUAAAUCAAAGGAACUUGUUUCUUCAAGCUCUUCAGGCAGUGAUUCUGACAGUGAAGUUGACAAAAAGUUAAAGAGGAAAAAGCAAGUUGCUCCAGAAAAGCCUGUAAAGAAGCAGAAAACUGGUGAGACUUCAAGGGCUCUGUCAUCUUCUAAGCAGAGCAGCAGCAGCAGAGAUGAUAACAUGUUUCAGAUUGGGAAAAUGAGAUAUGUCAGCGUUCGGGACUUUAAAGGGAAAGUUCUAAUUGAUAUUAGAGAAUAUUGAAUGGACCCAGAGGUGAAAUGAAACCAGGAAGAAAAGGUAUUUCUUUAAAUCCAGAGCAGUGGAGCCAGCUGAAGGAGCAGAUUUCUGACAUUGAUGAUGCAGUAAGAAAACUGUAGAAUCUGAGCCAUAAAAACCUGUAGUGUUGUAGUUGUUUUACUCUGUCUUUUUACAUUGGCUUUUGUUUUCUAAACGUUGUUUUCCAAGCUGUUGUAUAUUUGAAUUGCAGAACAAUUUGUAAGAUGAAUACUUUUUAAAAUGUGCAUUAUUAAAAAUGUUCAGAGUGAAGCUAAUUGUCAACUUUAUUAAGGAGGAUUGCUUUGUGCCCACCACCUAGUGUAAAAUAAAAUCAAGUAAUU